UACGGGGGGAGCAAGCGUUGUUCGGAUUUACUGGGCGUAAAGGGCGCGUAGGCGGCUCAACAAGUCACUUGUGAAAUCUCCGGGCUUAACUCGGAAAGGUCAAGUGAUACUGUUGUGCUAGAGUGCGGAAGGGGCAACUGGAAUUCUCGGUGUAGCGGUGAAAUGCGUAGAUAUCGAGAGGAACACCUGCGGCGAAGGCGGGUUGCUGGGCCGACACUGACGCUGAUGCGCGAAAGCCAGGGGAGCGAACGGG
rnacentral:rRNA from 1 species